CCUACGGGAGGCAGCAGUGAGGAAUAUUGGUCAAUGGGCGGAAGCCUGAACCAGCCAAGUAGCGUGCGGGAUGAAGGCCCUACGGGUCGUAAACCGCUUUUGCACGGGGAUAACACCCUCCACUUGUUGAGGUCUGCAGGUACCUUGCGAAUAAGCACCGGCUAAUUCCGUGCCAGCAGCCGCGGUAAUACGGAGGGCCCGAGGGUUAUCCGGAUUUAUUGGGUGUAAGGGGAGCGUAGGCGGACGUCCAAGUCAGCUGGAAAAUCGCGGGGAUCAACCGCGACCCGCAGUUGAAACUGGAUGGCUUGAGUUCACAAGAGGCAGGCGGAAUGCGUGGUGUAGCGGUGAAAUGCAUAGAUAUCACGAGGAACCCCGAUUGCGAAGGCAGCCUGCCGGGGUGCGACUGACGCUGAGGCUCGAAGGUGCGGGUAUCAAACAGGAUUAGAUACCCGAGUAGUC
rnacentral:rRNA from 1 species